AGGCUAUUAGCUCAGUUGGUAGAGCACACCCCUGAUAAGGGUGAAGUCCUUGGUUCAAAUCCAUGAUAGCCUA
rnacentral:tRNA from 1 species